rnacentral:lncRNA from 1 species
GUAGAACCUUCUUCAAACAAGGACCACUGAGUAUAAUUUCCUAAGAGACGAUUUUUACGUUGCAUGUCAAUUACAAUAAUGCACUGGAGAUGGAAAAAUCAGUAAAGCAUGAGCCCCACUUUCAAAGCAUCCACAGUUGAGAUGGGACAACUGAGAUAUGAGGGGCACCCCAGAAGCAUAGUGUACAAGUGGCCUCCACAGUGACGAGCAAACCCAGCACCCAGAGGAGGGCCACGGGGAGCCUUCUGAGGGAAACCAGGGUCUGGAGGGCACCAUCCCAGCAUCCCGAGAAGCGGCUGUCCCACAGAGGGUCCUUCCACCCACCCGCCAAGCUUUCCUGGGUCUGUGCACGCUGUCUCUGCCAGAGGACCUCAGUGAGCAACUGAAGACAAGUGGAGAGAAUAAAAGCUGUGGGAAAAUGCAGAGGGAGUCACAGCGGAUGGUCCUGCAUCCUAACAGAGCAUUUGGUGGCACGGAGAGUGGCAACUUUGUGUUUCAAACCUAAGUGAACGUCUCAGUUUGGCUCCUGCAGGCUCCUCUAAGGCAUAGCACCAGGUAUUGUCUGCAGGGGUUCAAAAUUAGCCCACAGGGAGGUUGCUGAUUCUGGCCCACGUCUCACCUGCCCCUGGCUCUUCCAGUGCCAGCUUUGGGCUGCAGAUUCAGCACACGCCCAUAACCAAAUGUCCUGCUUGGACACCACUGCAAGAGGGUGGACUCUGGUCUAUGGUGGCAGCACCAGGCAAGAGCUGUGGAAAAGUCGCUCUAGGAAGGCAUGGGAAUGCCAGG